GUGAACGCUGGCGGUAGGCCUAACACAUGCAAGUCGCACGGCAGCACAGUAAGAGCUUGCUCUUACGGGUGGCGAGUGGCGGACGGGUGAGGAAUACAUCGGAAUCUACUUUUUCGUGGGGGAUAACGUAGGGAAACUUACGCUAAUACCGCAUACGACCUACGGGUGAAAGCAGGGGAUCUUCGGACCUUGCGCGAUUGAAUGAGCCGAUGUCGGAUUAGCUAGUUGGCGGGGUAAAGGCCCACCAAGGCGACGAUCCGUAGCUGGUCUGAGAGGAUGAGCAGCCACACUGGAACUGAGACACGGUCCAGACUCCUACGGGAGGCAGCAGUGGGGAAUAUUGGACAAUGGGCGCAAGCCUGAUCCAGCCAUACCGCGUGGGUGAAGAAGGCCUUCGGGUUGUAAAGCCCUUUUGUUGGGAAAGAAAAGCAGCAGGUUAAUACCCCGCUGUUCUGACGGUACCCAAAGAAUAAGCACCGGCUAACUUCGUG
rnacentral:rRNA from 1 species